rnacentral:rRNA from 1 species
UACAGAGGUCUCAAGCGUUGUUCGGAUUCAUUGGGCGUAAAGGGUGCGUAGGCGGCGGGGCAAGUCAGGUGUGAAAUCCCAGGGCUCAACCCUGGAACUGCACUUGAUACUGCCUCGCUAGAGUACUGGAGAGGAGACUGGAAUUUACGGUGUAGCAGUGAAAUGCGUAGAUAUCGUAAGGAAGACCAGUGGCGAAGGCGAAUCUCUGGACAGUUACUGACACUGAGGCACGAAGGCCAGGGGAGCAAACGGG